rnacentral:rRNA from 1 species
UGAGGAAUAUUGGACAAUGGAGGCAACUCUGAUCCAGCCAUGCCGCGUGAAGGACUAAGGCCCUAUGGGCUGUAAACUUCUUUAGACGCAGAGCAAUAAGGGCCACGUGUGGUCCGAUGAGAGUAUGCGUAGAAUAAGCAUCGGCUAACUCCGUGCCAGCAGCCGCGGUAAUACGGAGGAUGCGAGCGUUAUCCGGAUUUAUUGGGUUUAAAGGUGCGUAGGCGGAUUAUUAAGUCAGCGGUGAAAGCGUGUGGCUCAACCAUACAAUUGCCGUUGAUACUGGUAGUCUUGAGUGUAAACGAGGUAGGCGGAAUGUGAUGUGUAGCGGUGAAAUGCUUAGAUAUGUCACAGAACCCCGAUUGCGAAGGCAGCUUACCAGGAUACGACUGACGCUGAGGCGCGA